AGUGAACGCUGGCGGUAGGCCUAACACAUGCAAGUCGAACGGCGGCACAGUAAGAGCUUGCUCUUACGGGUGGCGAGUGGCGGACGGGUGAGGAAUACAUCGGAAUCUACUUUUUCGUGGGGGAUAACGUAGGGAAACUUACGCUAAUACCGCAUACGACCUACGGGUGAAAGCAGGGGAUCUUCGGCCCUUGCGCGAUUGAAUGAGCCGAUGUCGGAUUAGCUAGUUGGCGGGGUAAAGGCCCACCAAGGCGACGAUCCGUAGCUGGUCUGAGAGGAUGAUCAGCCACACUGGAACUGAGACACGGUCCAGACUCCUACGGGAGGCAGCAGUGGGGAAUAUUGGACAAUGGGCGCAAGCCUGAUCCAGCCAUACCGCGUGGGUGAAGAAGGCCUUCGGGUUGUAAAGCCCUUUUGUUGGGAAAGAAAAGCAGCAGGUUAAUACCCCGCUGUUCUGACGGUACCCAAAGAAUAAGCACCGGCUAACUUCGUG
rnacentral:rRNA from 1 species